CAGCGUUCGGGUAGCUGAAAGCCUGGGGCGGUAGCGUG
rnacentral:ncRNA from 1 species